AUGAGCUUUUUCUUUCGAUUCUUCAAGACCAUUAAUCUUACUUGGGAUUUAAGCCUUUUUGCUUGGACAAACUUAGCCCAUCUCUUGGAAUAAUCCCAAUUAGAAAAGUAGUUAGGGAUGAAAUUACUUUUCUAUUUUGGCGAUCCCGUUUAGGAAAUAAAAAAAUGUUGGCAUUGUUUUCCUAUUUGGGAUGGGACCUAC
rnacentral:lncRNA from 1 species